rnacentral:rRNA from 1 species
CGGGGUGAGUAACGCGUGGGUAACCUGCCUUGUACAGGGGGAUAACAGUUGGAAACGGCUGCUAAUACCGCAUAAGCGCACGGCAUCGCAUGAUGCAGUGUGAAAAACUCCGGUGGUAUAAGAUGGACCCGCGUUGGAUUAGCUAGUUGGUGAGGUAACGGCCCACCAAGGCGACGAUCCAUAGCCGGCCUGAGAGGGUGAACGGCCACAUUGGGACUGAGACACGGCCCAG